UACAGAGGUCCCGAGCGUUGUUCGGAUUCAUUGGGCGUAAAGGGUGCGUAGGCGGCUUCCUAAGUUUGAUGUGAAAUCCUGGGGCUCAACCCUGGAACUGCAUUGAAUACUGGGAGGCUAGAGUACUGGAGAGGAAACUGGAAUUUACGGUGUAGCAGUGAAAUGCGUAGAGAUCGUAAGGAAGACCAGUGGCGAAGGCGAGUUUCUGGACAACACCUGACACUGAGGCACGAAAGCUAGGGGAGCAAACAGG
rnacentral:rRNA from 1 species